rnacentral:tRNA from 1 species
GCUCGAGUAGCUCAGCCGGAAGAGCAGCGGUCUUACAAACCGCAGGUCGUGGGUUCGACUCCCUCCUCGUGCA